rnacentral:rRNA from 1 species
GAAUGCUGACAUAAGUAACGAUAAAGCGGGUGAAAAGCCCGCUCGCCGGAAGACCAAGGGUUCCUGUCCAACGUUAAUCGGGGCAGGGUGAGUCGACCCCUAAGGCGAGGCCGAAAGGCGUAGUCGAUGGGAAACAGGUUAAUAUUCCUGUACUUGGUGUUACUGCGAAGGGGGGACGGAGAAGGCUAUGUCGGCCGGGCGACGGUUGUCCCGGUUUAAGCGUGUAGGUGUGUGCUCCAGGCAAAUCCGGUGCACUUUAACACUGAGGCGUGAUGACGAGGCACUACGGUGCUGAAGUGACAAAUGCCCUGCUUCCAGGAAAA